rnacentral:rRNA from 1 species
AGAGCGAACGCUGGCGGCAGGCCUAACACAUGCAAGUCGAGCGCCCGUAGCAAUACGGGAGCGGCAGACGGGAUAGUAACACGUGGGAACGCGCCCUUCGGUUCGGAAUAACUCAGGGAAACUUGAGCUAAUACCGGAUACGCCCUUACGGGGAAAGAUUUAUUGCCGAAGGAACGGCCCGCGUCCGAUUAGCUAGUUGGUGAGGUAAUGGCUCACCAAGGCGACGAUCGGUAUCC